GCAGUCGAACGCGUUGGCCCAAUUGAUUGAUGGUGCUUGCACCUGAUUGAUUUUGGUCGCCAACGAGUGGCGGACGGGUGAGUAACACGUAGGUAACCUGCCCAGAAGCGGGGGACAACAUUUGGAAACAGAUGCUAAUACCGCAUAACAGCGUUGUUCGCAUGAACAACGCUUAAAAGAUGGCUUCUCGCUAUCACUUCUGGAUGGACCUGCGGUGCAUUAGCUUGUUGGUGGGGUAACGGCCUACCAAGGCGAUGAUGCAUAGCCGAGUUGAGAGACUGAUCGGCCACAAUGGGACUGAGACACGGCCCAUACUCCUACGGGAGGCAGCAGUAGGGAAUCUUCCACAAUGGGCGCAAGCCUGAUGGAGCAACACCGCGUGAGUGAAGAAGGGUUUCGGCUCGUAAAGCUCUGUUGUUAAAGAAGAACACGUAUGAGAGUAACUGUUCAUACGUUGACGGUAUUUAACCAGAAAGUCACGGCUAACUACGUGCCAGCAGCCGCGGUAAUACGUAGGUGGCAAGCGUUAUCCGGAUUUAUUGGGCGUAAAGAGAGUGCAGGCGGUUUUCUAAGUCUGAUGUGAAAGCCUUCGGCUUAACCGGAGAAGUGCAUCGGAAACUGGAUAACUUGAGUGCAGAAGAGGGUAGUGGAACUCCAUGUGUAGCGGUGGAAUGCGUAGAUAUAUGGAAGAACACCAGUGGCGAAGGCGGCUACCUGGUCUGCAACUGACGCUGAGACUCGAAAGCAUGGGUAGCGAACAGGAUUAGAUACCCUGGUAGUCCAUGCCGUAAACGAUGAGUGCUAGGUGUUGGAGGGUUUCCGCCCUUCAGUGCCGGAGCUAACGCAUUAAGCACUCCGCCUGGGGAGUACGACCGCAAGGUUGAAACUCAAAGGAAUUGACGGGGGCCCGCACAAGCGGUGGAGCAUGUGGUUUAAUUCGAAGCUACGCGAAGAACCUUACCAGGUCUUGACAUCUUGCGCCAACCCUAGAGAUAGGGCGUUUCCUUCGGGAACGCAAUGACAGGUGGUGCAUGGUCGUCGUCAGCUCGUGUCGUGAGAUGUUGGGUUAAGUCCCGCAACGAGCGCAACCCUUGUUACUAGUUGCCAGCAUUAAGUUGGGCACUCUAGUGAGACUGCCGGUGACAAACCGGAGGAAGGUGGGGACGACGUCAGAUCAUCAUGCCCCUUAUGACCUGGGCUACACACGUGCUACAAUGGACGGUACAACGAGUCGCGAACUCGCGAGGGCAAGCAAAUCUCUUAAAACCGUUCUCAGUUCGGACUGCAGGCUGCAACUCGCCUGCACGAAGUCGGAAUCGCUAGUAAUCGCGGAUCAGCAUGCCGCGGUGAAUACGUUCCCGGGCCUUGUACACACCGCCCGUCACACCAUGAGAGUUUGUAACACCCAAAGUCGGUGGGGUAACCUU
rnacentral:rRNA from 1 species